rnacentral:rRNA from 1 species
AUCUAUGGCCAUACUACCCUGAAAGCACCCGAUCUCAUCUGAUCUCAGAAGCUAAACAAGGCUGGGCGCGGUUAGUACUUGGAUGAGAGAAAAAUUUUAACUAUGCUUA